rnacentral:rRNA from 1 species
CAGCGCCACGAGUGGCGAUCAUAUUUAUUUGGCCUAAAGCGUCCGUAGCUGGUCUAGUAAAUCUCUUGUGAAAUUGUUCAGCUUAACUGAACAGCGUGCAGGAGAGACUGCUAAACUAGGAACCGGAGGGAGUCAGAGGUAUGCUGGGGGGAGCGGUAAAAUACUAUAAUCCUCGGUAGACCACCUGUGGCGAAGGCGUCUGACUAAUACGGGUUCGACAGUGAGGGACGAAAGCCAGGGGAGCAAACCGGAUUAGAUACCCGAGUAGUCC